rnacentral:rRNA from 1 species
UACGAAGGGGGCUAGUGUUGCUCGGAAUCACUGGGCGUAAAGGGUGCGUAGGCGGGUCUUUAAGUCAGGGGUGAAAUCCUGGAGCUCAACUCCAGAACUGCCUUUGAUACUGAGGAUCUUGAGUUCGGGAGAGGUGAGUGGAACUGCGAGUGUAGAGGUGAAAUUCGUAGAUAUUCGCAAGAACACCAGUGGCGAAGGCGGCUCACUGGCCCGAUACUGACGCUGAGGCACGAAAGCGUGGGGAGCAAACAGGG